GUUUGGUUAUCCCUUUAGCUUGACUGUAGGAAUUCUUCUUGGAGGAUGCUGGUCUGAAAAGAGACAAAAUAAUCUUACAGCCAUAGACCAUUUUAACGUGUGGAGAAAAUCUGGUUGUAGAAGUUGGGAUGAACUACAUAUAGUGAAAGUCAAUCCAAGGUUGUUAGACAAGAGACUGAUAGUGGCACUCAAUAAUCACUGAGGUGGGACACCGCUGCGGCCAGUGAUUGACACGUUUACAGCUCCAGUCAGCUCCAAGGACUGUCAAUGGAGAUCGACUGGAGGCAGGACAUCGCUAUGCCAAUGAUUUUCUGAACUGCAGUAUGACACAUUGGACUCAACACAUGCUCAACACGUCACGCCACAGUUCAGGAAGACAAUCGCACUGGGGAACCGGAGCAGGACACUGGAAUCAAGUAGAGAUCAGUAGAAAUGAAGUUCAAGUCAGAUCUGCUUGCUUACAUUUUUUGUUAGACUGGAGGUCCCUCCUACAUUGGUGCAGGCCCCUUCAAGGUAACACAACCCUUAUAUAUCUAUAUCCUCUUAUGUUCUAGUUCAUUGCACAACUGCAUGAGGCAGUGUAGUCCCUGCUUGUGGUGGCGCAUCU